GAAUCCGCYAAGGAGUGUGUAACAACUCACCUGCCGAAUGAAUUAGCCCUGAAAAUGGAUGGCGCUGAAGCGGGCAGCCGACACCGCGCCGUUCCGGCGAGACGAUGCCGGGAUGAGUAGGAGGGCGUGGCGGUCAGUGACGCAGGCGAGGGUGCAGACCCCGCUGAAACGGCCGCUAGUGCAGAUCUUGGUGGUAGUAGCAAAUAUUCAAGCGAGAUCCUUGAAGGGCGAAGCGGGGAAGGGUUCCACGCAAACAUUGAUUGGGCGUGGGUGAGUCGUUCCUAAGCCGAGUGGCAAUUGCUAAGUAGCGGCGAAAGGGAAGCGGGUUAAAAUUCCCGCACACAGAUAUGGAGGCGGCGACGCAAGCAGAGGCAAAUACGCUGGCGAGGGCGCUGGGCAGAGUUGUCUUUUCUGUUUGACCGGCAUCGUGCUGUGUGGAAUCCGCUUAUCGGGAGAAACACGCACGGGGAGGGGCAGAGCGUCAGGUCUUUUCUGGCGUCCGGCUCGCCCUCGACGGCCCUUGAAAAUUUGCCCGCGAACUAAUUUCAUGCUGUGACGUACCGAUAACCGCAUCAGGUCCCCAAGGUGAACAGCCUCUGCUCAAUAUGAACAAUGCAGGUAAGGGAAGUCGGCA
rnacentral:rRNA from 1 species